rnacentral:rRNA from 1 species
GACGAACGCUGGCGGCGUGCUUAACACAUGCAAGUCGAACGGAAAGGCCCUGCUUUUGUGGGGUGCUCGAGUGGCGAACGGGUGAGUAACACGUGAGUAACCUGCCCUUGACUUUGGGAUAACUUCAGGAAACUGGGGCUAAUACCGGAUAGGAGCUCCUGCUGCAUGGUGGGGGUUGGAAAGUUUCGGCGGUUGGGGAUGGACUCGCGGCUUAUCAGCUUGUUGGUGGGGUAGUGGCUUACCAAGGCUUUGACGGGUAGCCGGCCUGAGAGGGUGACCGGCAACAUUGGGACUGAGAUACGGCCAAGACUCCUACGGGAGGCAGCAGUGGGGAUUAUUGCACAAUGGGCGGAAGCCUGAUGCAGCAACGCCGCGUGCGGGAUGACGGCCUUCGGGUUGUAACCCGCUUUCGCCUGUGACGAAGCGUGAGUGACGGUAAUGGGUAAAGAAGCACCGGCUAACUACGUG